GACGAACGCUGGCGGCGUGCUUAACACAUGCAAGUCGAACGGAAAGGCCCUGCUUUUGUGGGGUGCUCGAGUGGCGAACGGGUGAGUAACACGUGAGUAACCUGCCCUUGACUUUGGGAUAACUUCAGGAAACUGGGGCUAAUACCGGAUAGGAGCUCCUGCUGCAUGGUGGGGGUGGGAAAGUUUCGGCGGUGGGGGAUGGACUCGGGGCUUAUCAGCUUGUUGGUGGGGUAGUGGCUUACCAAGGCUUUGACGGGUAGCCGGCCUGAGAGGGUGACCGGCCCCAUGGGGACUGGGGUGCGGCCCACACCCUUCCGGGGGGCAGGGGGGGGGAUUUUUCCCAAAGGGGCGGAAGCCUGUGGCAGCAACCCCGCGGGCGGGAUGACGGCCUUCGGGUUUUAACCCCUUUUCGCCUGUGACGAGGCGGGAGUGACGGUAAUGGGUAAAGAAGCCCCGGUUAACUCCGU
rnacentral:rRNA from 1 species